rnacentral:rRNA from 1 species
ACUCCUACGGGAGGCAGCAGUGGGGAAUAUUGCGCAAUGGGCGAAAGCCUGACGCAGCAACGCCGCGUGAGGGAUGACGGCCUUCGGGUUGUAAACCUCUUUCAGCAGGGAAGAAGCGAAAGUGACGGUACCUGCAGAAGAAGCACCGGCUAACUACGUGCCAGCAGCCGCGGUAAUA